UACGUAGGGACCAAGCGUUGUUCGGAUUUACUGGGCGGAAAGGGCGCGUAGGCGGCAUGGCAAGUCACUUGUGAAAUCUCCGGGCUUAACUCGGAACGGCCAAGUGAUACUGUUGAGCUAGAGUGCAGAAGGGGCAAUCGGAAUUCUUGGUGUAGCGGUGAAAUGCGUAGAUAUCAAGAGGAACACCUGAGGUGAAGACGGGUUGCUGGGCUGACACUGACGCUGAGGCGCGAAAGCCAGGGGAGCAAACGGG
rnacentral:rRNA from 1 species